CAGCCGCCGCGGUAAUACGUAGGGUGCAAGCGUUAAUCGGAAUUACUGGGCGUAAAGCGUGCGCAGGCGGUUAUAUAAGACAGAUGUGAAAUCCCCGGGCUCAACCUGGGAACUGCAUUUGUGACUGUAUAGCUAGAGUACGGCAGAGGGGGAUGGAAUUCCGCGUGUAGCAGUGAAAUGCGUUGAUAUGCGGAGGAACACCGAUGGCGAAGGCAAUCCCCUGGGCCUGUACUGACGCUCAUGCACGAAAGCGUGGGGAGCAAACAGGAUUAGAUACCCCCGUAGUCCCUGUCUCUUAUAC
rnacentral:rRNA from 1 species